CCUACGGGAGGCAGCAGUGAGGAAUAUUGGUCAAUGGCCGAGAGGCUGAACCAGCCAAGUCGCGUGAGGGAAGACGGCCCUACGGGUUGUAAACCUCUUUUGUCGGGGAGCAAAGCGAGGCACGUGUGACUCAUUGAGAGUACCCGAAGAAAAAGCAUCGGCUACCUCCGUGCCAGCAGCCGCGGUAAGACGGAGGAUGCGCGCGUUAUCCGGAUUUAUUGGGUUGAAAGGGUGCGCAGGCGGAGGUGCAAGUCAGCGGUCAAAUUACGGGGCUCAACCCCGUACUGCCGUUGAAACUGCAUCCCUUGAGUGCGCGAGAAGUAUGCGGAAUGCGUGGUGUAGCGGUGAAAUGCAUAGAUAUCACGCAGAACUCCGAUUGCGAAGGCAGCGUACCGGCGCCAGACUGACGCUGAGGCACGAAAGCGUGGGGAUCGAACAGGAUUAGAUACCCUUGUAGUC
rnacentral:rRNA from 1 species